GUUUGGGUCCUGCGCAAUAGGACGCCGUGAACCUUGUCAGGUCCGGAAGGAAGCAGCAAUAAGCGGAAGCUCUUAUGUGCCGCAGAUCAGCCUUCUCCUA
rnacentral:SRP_RNA from 3 species